GACGAACGCUGGCGGCGUGCCUAAUACAUGCAAGUAGAACGCACAGUUUAUACCGUAGCUUGCUACACCAUAAACUGUGAGUUGCGAACGGGUGAGUAACGCGUAGGUAACCUGCCUGGUAGCGGGGGAUAACUAUUGGAAACGAUAGCUAAUACCGCAUAAUAUUGAUUAUUGCAUGAUAAUUGAUUGAAAGAUGCUAUUGCAUCACUACCAGAUGGACCUGCGUUGUAUUAGCUAGUAGGUGAGGUAACGGCUCACCUAGGCGACGAUACAUAGCCGACCUGAGAGGGUGAUAGGCCACACUGGGACUGAGACACGGCCCAGACUCCUACGGGAGGCAGCAGUAGGGAAUCUUCGGCAAUGGACGAAAGUCUGACCGAGCAACGCCGCGGGAGUGAAGAAGGGUUUCGGAUCGUAAAGCUCUGUUGUAAGAGAAGAACGGGUGUGAGAGUGGAAAGUUCACACUGUGACGGUAUCUUACCAGAAAGGGACGGCUAACUACGUG
rnacentral:rRNA from 1 species